UACGGAGGGGGCUAGCGUUGUUCGGAAUUACUGGGCGUAAAGCGCACGUAGGCGGCUUUGUAAGUUAGAGGUGAAAGCCCGGGGCUCAACUCCGGAAUUGCCUUUAAAACUGCAUCGCUAGAAUUGUGGAGAGGUAAGUGGAAUUCCGAGUGUAGAGGUGAAAUUCGUAGAUAUUCGGAAGAACACCAGUGGCGAAGGCGACUUACUGGACACAUAUUGACGCUGAGGUGCGAAAGCGUGGGAGCAAACAGG
rnacentral:rRNA from 1 species